rnacentral:rRNA from 1 species
CGACACGGGGAGGUAGUGACAAUAAAUACUGAUACAGGGCUCUUUUGGGUCUUGUAAUUGGAAUGAGUACAAUUUAAAUCCCUUAACGAGGAACAAUUGGAGGGCAAGUCUGGUGCCAGCAGCCGCGGUAAUUCCAGCCCCAAUAGCGUAUAUUAAAGUUGUUGCAGUUAAAAAGCUCGUAGUUGAACCUUGGGCCUGGCUGGCCGGUCCGCCUCACCGCGUGUACUGGUCCGGCCGGGCCUUUCCUUCUGGGGAACCUCAUGCCCUUCACUGGGCGUGUUGGGGAACCAGGACUUUUACUUUGAAAAAAUUAGAGUGUUCAAAGCAGGCCUUUGCUCGAAUACAUUAGCAUGGAAUAAUAGAAUAGGACGUGUGGUUCUAUUUUGUUGGUUUCUAGGACCGCCGUAAUGAUUAAUAGGGAUAGUCGGGGGCAUCAGUAUUCAAUCGUCAGAGGUGAGAUUCUUGGAUUGAUUGAAGACUAACUACUGCGAAAGCAUUUGCCAAGGAUGUUUUCAUUAAUCAAGAACGAAAGUUGGGGGCUCGAAGACGAUCAGAUACCGUCCUAGUCUCAACCAUAAACGAUGCCGACCAGGGAUCGGCGGAUGUUGCUUAUAGGACUCCGCCGGCACCUUAUGAGAAAUCAAAGUUUUUGGGUUCCGGGGGGAGUAUGGUCGCAAGGCUGAAACUUAAAGGAAUUGACGGAAGGGCACCACCAGGAGUGGAGCCUG